UCGUGAACUCAUCUCCGGGGGUAGAGCACUGUUUCGGCUAGGGGGCCAUCCCGGCUUACCAACCCGAUGCAAACUGCGAAUACCGGAGAAUGUUAUCACGGGAGACACACGGCGGGUGCUAACGUCCGUCGUGAAGAGGGAAACAACCCAGACCGCCAGCUAAGGUCCCAAAGUCAUGGUUAAGUGGGAAACGAUGUGGGAAGGCCCAGACAGCCAGGAUGUUGGCUUAGAAGCAGCCAUCAUUUAAAGAAAGCGUAAUAGCUCACUGGUCGAGUCGGCCUGCGCGGAAGAUGUAACGGGGCUAAACCAUG
rnacentral:rRNA from 1 species